rnacentral:rRNA from 1 species
GUGGGGAAUCUUAGACAAUGGGCGCAAGCCUGAUCUAGCCAUGCCGCGUGAGCGAUGAAGGCCUUAGGGUUGUAAAGCUCUUUCGUGGGGGAAGAUAAUGACUGUACCCCAAGAAGAAGCCCCGGCUAACUCCGUGCCAGCAGCCGCGGUAAUACGGAGGGGGCUAGCGUUGUUCGGAAUUACUGGGCGUAAAGCGCACGUAGGCGGACUGGAAAGUCAGGGGUGAAAUCCCGGGGCUCAACCCCGGAACUGCCUUUGAAACUCCCAGUCUUGAGUUCGAGAGAGGUGAGUGGAAUUCCGAGUGUAGAGGUGAAAUUCGUAGAUAUUCGGAGGAACACCAGUGGCGAAGGCGGCUCACUGGCUCGAUACUGACGCUGAGGUGCGAAAGCGUGGGGAGCAAACAGGAUUAGAAACCCUGGUAGUCC